GAACAUUCUAGCCGUACAUGUGAAUAUAGCAUAAAUACACCAAGGGAUUGGGUGAGCUCCCAUCACAAAAAAAAACUGCGAACCUGCACUACAGUGACCACAGUACAGUAUGGAGACCAAGACCUUUUACGGGAAGAGACGGGGUGCUUCUGCCACCCCAGCUUCCAAAGAGCGAAGGCCUGUUCUUCAAGAAAACACCGCACGGGCGAAACGAUCUUCGAAAUCUACCACCAGGACAGUAAAAAGAAAGCGGUAAGACGGAAAAAAAGAAAAGUUUAUUUUGACGUCUGUUCCGCGACUGAUGAAUACUACUGUGUGACUUUAUUUCUUACAUGAAUUAUGUUAUUUUGCCACAGGCCGUGGGCCUCUGCUCUGGGCCACUGGCCAGGGUGCCAAGCUGUAGAAGCAGCACCUGUUUGGAGACAUUUCGGCAGCAGCGUGAGCAGUACGAUGCAUUACUGGGGAGGAUUGGGAGGCUAAAGACACUCCUGAAAAUGCAGAGGAAGGAGACAGUAUGUUCCAGCA